rnacentral:misc_RNA from 1 species
CCAAGAGCGCCGCGGCCGGCUUCGUUGUUCCAGAACUCUCUAUGGGUACUCUGGUGUGCGGCGUAGUCGUUUUGUUUUGGACGGGCGUUGGUGCCACGCUGCUUUGAGCGAAGUAAACGAACUAUGAGUCUUCACAUGGCNCUUUUUCUUUUGAGACAUAUUUAGACAAUGAUGAGCCUUCUUUUGGGAUGAAUCACCGGCG